rnacentral:rRNA from 1 species
ACGAACGCUGGCGGCGUGCUUAACACAUGCAAGUCGAGCGGUAAGGCCCUUUCGGGGGUACACGAGCGGCGAACGGGUGAGUAACACGUGAGUAAUCUGCCCUUCACUUGGGGAUAAGCACCGGAAACGGUGUCUAAUACCCGAUACGACACUCUCCUGCAUGGGAUGGGUGUGGAAAGUUUUUUCGGUGGGGGAUGUGCUCGCGGCCUAUCAGCUUGUUGGUGGGGUAAUGGCCUACCAAGGCUUCGACGGGUAGCCG